rnacentral:sRNA from 1 species
GUCGGGCACUGUGGCACCUGCCUGUAAUCCCAGCAUCUUGGGAGGCUGAGACAGGAGGAUUGCGAAUUCAAGGCUAGCCUCAGCAACUUAGCAAGACCUUGUCUCAA